CCCAGACAGCCAGGAUGUUGGCUUAGAAGCAGCCAUCAUUUAAAGAAAGCGUAAUAGCUCACUGGUCGAGUCGGCCUGCGCGGAAGAUGUAACGGGGCUAAACCAUGCACCGAAGCUGCGGCAGCGACACUGUGUGUUGUUGGGUAGGGGAGCGUUCUGUAAGCCUGCGAAGGUGUCCCGUGAGGGAUGCUGGAGGUAUCAGAAGUGCGAAUGCUGACAUAAGUAACGAUAAAGCGGGUGAAAAGCCCGCUCGCCGGAAGACCAAGGGUUCCUGUCCAACGUUAAUCGGGGCAGGGUGAGUCGACCCCUAAGGCGAGGCCGAAAGGCGUAGUCGAUGGGAAACAGGUUAAUAUUCCUGUACUUGGUGUUACUGCGAAGGGGGGACGGAGAAGGCUAUGUUGGCCGGGCGACGGUUGUCCCGGUUUAAGCGUGUAGGCUGGUUUUCCAGGCAAAUCCGGAAAAUCAAGGCUGAGGCGUGAUGACGAGGCACUACGGUGCUGAAGCAACAAAUGCCCUGCUUCCAGGAAAAGCCUCUAAGCAUCAGGUAACAUCAAAUCGUACCCCAAACCGACACAGGUGGUCAGGUAGAGAAUACCAAGGCGCUUGA
rnacentral:rRNA from 1 species